rnacentral:rRNA from 1 species
UACGUGGGGGGUAAGCGUUGUUCGGAAUUACUGGGCGUAAAGGGCUCGUAGGCGGCCAACUAAGUCAGACGUGAAAUCCCUCAGCUUAACUGGGGAACUGCGUCUGAUACUGGAUGGCUUGGAUUCGGGAGAGGGAUGCGGAAUUCCAGGUGUAGCGGUGAAAUGCGUAGAUAUCUGGAGGAACACCGGUGGCGAAGGCGGCAUCCUGGACCGAUAUUGACGCUGAGGAGCGAAAGCCAGGGGAGCAAACGGG